GACGAACGCUGGCGGCGUGCCUAAUACAUGCAAGUAGAACGCUGAAGAGAGGAGCUUGCUCUUCUUGGAUGAGUUGCGAACGGGUGAGUAACGCGUAGGUAACCUGCCUUGUAGCGGGGGAUAACUAUUGGAAACGAUAGCUAAUACCGCAUAACAAUGGAUGACACAUGUCAUUUAUUUGAAAGGGGCAAUUACUCCACUACAAGAUGGACCUGCGUUGUAUUAGCUAGUAGGUGAAGUAAUGGCUCACCUAGGCGACGAUACAUAGCCGACCUGAGAGGGUGAUCGGCCACACUGGGACUGAGACACGGCCCAGACUCCUACGGGAGGCAGCAGUAGGGAAUCUUCGGCAAUGGGGGCAACCCUGACCGAGCAACGCCGCGUGAGUGAAGAAGGUUUUCGGAUCGUAAAGCUCUGUUGUAAGUCAAGAACGGGUGUGAGAGUGGAAAGUUCACACUGUGACGGUAGCUUACCAGAAAGGGACGGCUAACUACGUG
rnacentral:rRNA from 1 species